GACGAACGCUGGCGGCGUGCUUAACACAUGCAAGUCGAACGGAAAGGCCCUGCUUUUGUGGGGUGCUCGAGUGGCGAACGGGUGAGUAACACGUGAGUAACCUGCCCUUGACUUUGGGAUAACUUCAGGAAACUGGGGCUAAUACCGGAUAGGAGCUCCUGCUGCAUGGUGGGGGUUGGAAAGUUUCGGCGGUUGGGGAUGGACUCGCGGCUUAUCAGCUUGUUGGUGGGGUAGUGGCUUACCAAGGCUUUGACGGGUAGCCGGCCUGAGAGGGUGACCGGCCACAGUGGGACAGAGAUCCGCCCCAGACUCCUCCGGGGGGCAGAAGGGGGGAAUUUUGAACAAGGGGCGGAAGCUUGAUGCAGCACCCCCGCGUGGGGGAUGGGGCCCUUCGGUUUUUAACCCCGUUUCGCCUGUGAAGAACGGGGCGGGAGGUUAGGGGGUAAAGAAGCCCGGCCAAGCUCGGGA
rnacentral:rRNA from 1 species